rnacentral:lncRNA from 1 species
CAAGAAGGAGGGGGUCGUCAACACCGUAGUCGAACUGGGGGUCGCCGGCAGUCUCGGGGUCUACCGGAAAGAAGUAACGGAGGGGAAAUAUAAUAAAUAAUAGAGCAAUCAAGGUAUCACAAAGCAUAACAAGACAAUACGCAGUGCUAGAGGUGACCUAACGCGGUACUAAUUGACACCGGCAAAGGGGGGAAACAUCCGGGAAAGUAACCCCGGCGUUUCGCGUUUUCGGACAGAUGAACCGGAGGGGAAAGUUGUGUGUUCGCUAAGCUAGGGAUGUGUGGCGGACGAACAGGCUGCGUAUCCGGAAUCGUCUCGUCGUUCUGAGCAACUUUCAUGUACAAAGAUUUUCCAUCCGAGCUACGGUUUAUUUUCUAUGAAUUUCUGAAGUCUAAACAAUAUUCUGAAAUUAUUUCUAAUUAUUAAAUUUGACAGAAAAAGAAUAAUGACGUUAGCAUGAGGUCAGCGUGAUGUCAGCAGUCAACAGGGCGUUGACUGGUCAAACUGACGUAUGGAUCCCACUGUCAUAGACACAGUGUAGUUAAACAGUAUAAGACUAACUAAUCUAGUUAAUCAGGUUAUUAAGCAUGUUAAUUAAGUUAAUUAAUUAUAUUACUAAUUAAUUAAUUACUUUUUAUUUACUUUUUCAUUCCUUUUUUUUUCUGUUUUACAGGGGCUGUCCCACAUGUCAUAGGGUACAACAAAAGCUAAGUCUAAUAAAAUUAGUCUAACAAAGGGGCUUGUUUAACUAGGGAUUAGCCCCUAAGCUAGCAAAGGGCCGGCCACACUCAGAACACACAUACGCUGCACACACACCACACAACACACUUGGCCAUGGCCGUGGCCAUGGCCAGUAGCAGCAGCAGCCGGUGGUAGUGGGCAGCAGUAGUACCAGCAACAGAGCAGCAUAGCAGCGGCCUAAGCACGAAGCAGCAGUAACAGCAAUUAGCAGAUACAUCAGUAAUAAACAGCAGCAGAGAGCAGUGGCACAAGCAGUUCAGCGCAGCAGGCAGCGGCGAAAAGUAGCAGUUGCGGGCGCAACGCAAGACGACGGGAGCGGCGGGGUGUGGCCAGGGGACGGCCGGUGCACGGCCUGUCGCGGCCAGGGUGCGCGUGAUGGGUUCGGGUAGGUGCACGCAAGAGCGCGGGUGCGGCCACGGUGAGGUCCGUCCAUGGCGGACGAUGGAGCUUGGUGCUUGUAGGCUUCAGUAGUACGGCACGAAAUCGACGGGAAAACAAAGGGGAAAUCGAAGGGAGCUUACAACGGGGCUGUAGGGCAAGUCAGUGUGCUCGGGGGUGCGUCAGGGAUGGACUGGAGUAGCGGCAAUCGACGGCGGACGGAGACGAUGUACGCGGAGAUGACCAAGUUGAUGGCUAGCGUAUGAGACGUCCCGGCUCGAUUCGAUGCUCGGGAUAGACGGAGUCGAGGGUGGUGGUCCUCCUGGACAUCUUCUCAGGCGACAGGGAGGCCGGUGGCCAUGACGACGACGGCGACCAUGGAGGGCGCCGUUCGGUUGUAUGUUGCGGAGGAGAGAACGGCGCGAGGGAGG